rnacentral:rRNA from 1 species
GAUGAACGCUAGCUACAGGCUUAACACAUGCAAGUCGAGGGGCAGCAUGGUCUUAGCUUGCUAAGGCCGAUGGCGACCGGCGCACGGGUGAGUAACACGUAUCCAACCUGCCGUCUACUCUUGGACAGCCUUCUGAAAGGAAGAUUAAUACAAGAUGGCAUCAUGAGUCCGCAUGUUCACAUGAUUAAAGGUAUUCCGGUAGACGAUGGGGAUGCGUUCCAUUAGAUAGUAGGCGGGGUAACGGCCCACCUAGUCUUCGAUGGAUAGGGGUUCUGAGAGGAAGGUCCCCCACAUUGGAACUGGGACACGGUCCAAACCCCUAGGGGGGGCAGCAGGGAGGAAUAUUGGUCAAUGGGCGAAGGCCUGAACCAGCCAAGUAGGGUGAAGGAUGACUGCCCUUUGGGUUGUAAACUUUUUUUAAAAAGGAAAAAAGUCGGGUAUGUAUACCCGUUUGCAUGUACUUUAGGAAAAAAGAUCGGCUAACUCCGU